AAGACUCUCUUGUCAUGGUGAGAAGGCUCAGCAGAUGCUCCUUCGUGCUGCAGGAGAUGCCCUCUCACACUAGGGUGAUGAUAGUUGGUGAGAAGUUUACAGUCCUUGACCUGUAGAAAAUGUGAGGUCGUUGCAUACUGACGCCUGUGGCAUUGCGUCUAUAACUCUACCCUGAUCCCGUUCUGGAUGUUAAUCCCCCAGUGAGCGUGUGAGAUAAGCUUGUCUCUGAAUAAUCUUAACACAGAAACUACUCUAAAGAAUCUGCUGAAAAACACUGGACUAUACACAUGAAGGUACCUGCAGGCUUUUUGUUCUGUUGCAUUAGUCUGUGUCUCCGUCUCUCUCUACCACACUCUCUUACUGGCUAAACGUUAUAAGCUGUUGUUUGUUGUUUAAAACAAGGUCUUUCUAUAUAGCCCUGGCUCUUCUGAAACUCAAUGUGUCGACAAGGCUGGCCUUGAACUAACAGAGAUCCACCUGGCUCUGCCUCCUGACUGCUGGGAUUAAAGGCACGCCCUAGCACACCUGGCUUUUAUAUGUUUUAAAAUUGGAGAUUAUAAUAACAUCCACUUUAUUCCUCCUUCUCAAUAUUGUUUUGGCUGUUCAGGGUCCUUUGUGAUUAAAGAACAAUGUAUUUGGGGAAGGAUUUUUUUUCUUGCUACAAAGAAAUUGAACUUUUAUAGGAGUUGCGGUGAAUGGAUUGACUUUGGACAGUGUGCUAUUUUCCUAACAGUGAACCGUGAAUCUUCCAAUCCACAAACUGAAUAUGCUCUUCCAUUUAUGUCCGUUUUCAAACUCUUGUUAAUUGACUAAAUUUGCUCAUUGACUACUUUCUAUGUGCUUAUGAUACAUUGUGUCUAUUCUUAUAUCUAUCAUUCUUUCCCCAACACAGGUGACCCUUUCCCACAUGCAUGUCUUUUGCUUUUAUAACCAUGUCUUUAUGCAGUGACGUCUGCGUGGCCACAAGUUUGGAACUACCCACUGGAGUCCUGUGGGUUCACCUCGGAGUCCACAUCUGAGGACAGUUGCUAUCCAGGAUAUGAAUCUGCUGUCUCUUAUCCCUAAAUAUUUUAUUUUUUUAAAUGACGUUAAAAUGAAACAGUUUGCUUAACUUCCUUUCAGACCAUUUACUUUUCGUGCUUAGAGACUCAACCGAUUCUCUUGCAAUAUUUAGAAAAAUUAUAUUCUGCAGUUCCGUUGAGCCUCUUUGCCCACAUCUGUGUCUCAUAUUUUGCUGUGCCGUGAAGAAACCAGAUGCAAAGUCCCAAGCCGUCAAUGUCCAUUCUCUGUACUUAUGCCAUAUUUUACAAAUUUUUCCUUUUACCAACCUCUGGUUCAUGUUGUGUUUUACUUAUAUGUUAUUGGGGUAAUAAAUAAAUGGGGUAAUGACCCCAUAAUG
rnacentral:lncRNA from 1 species